GUGCUCACUUUGGCAGCACACAUACUAAAAUUGUAAUGAUACAGAGAAGAAUUAGUAUGGCCCUUGAGCAAAGAUGACACACAAAUUGAUGAAGCAUUUCAGAUUUUU
ensembl:snRNA U6 U6 spliceosomal RNA